rnacentral:lncRNA from 1 species
UGAAGGGCUUUCCUGUUGGAGGUGGGUAUCCAAGGUCGUGGCCGAAGAUGGGAUACUAAGGAUUAGUCAGCAAAAUAAAGGCAGAAAAUAAUUGCUUUGAGGACAUGCAUGCACGCCUCUGCCAUACAAAUCCAGAGUUGUUUAACUCUACUGCAUCCAUUCUUCUGGUCCGAGGAAGUUGAAGUAUUUGGUUCAGCAAAGUUGAUCUGGGGCUUUUUUCUCUCCAGAGUUGAAGUGCUACAUUAUGAAAGCACUUGCAGGUUCAUUCUCUCUUGUCAUUAUUGUUGAACACAAUGGUCUUCUAAUGUUGUAUAGAUGUAUCCUCAUUGCUAUAUGGUCCCUCAUUGUAUCGGGAUCAAUUUGCCUCGUAUAGAAGGUUAUGCAUAUAGUUUUGGAUCUUCGGCAGAUGUAUGUCCUUAAUGAAAGCAAUUCGAUCACAGCCUAAUAUCUAUCAGAUGGUGUUUUUCUCCUGCAUUUUA